rnacentral:rRNA from 1 species
AUACGAACCGUACGAACGUUAUUCGGAAUCACUGGGCUUAAAGAGUGCGUAGGCGGCUUGGUAAGUUGGAUGUGAAAUCCCUCGGAUCAACCGAGGAACUGCGUUCAAUACUGUCAAGCUUGAGGGAGAUAGAGGUGAGCGGAACUAAUGGUGGAGCGGUGAAAUGCGUUGAUAUCAGUAGGAACACCGGAGGCGAAAGCGGCUCACUGGGUCUCUUCUGACGCUGAGGCACGAAAGCUAGGGGAGCGAACGGGAUUAGAUACCCCAGUAGUCC